CAUAGCAAAAUGCAAGAGGAAAGGUGAACUCCAAGCAGGCUUGAAAUACGUAAGUAGGUCGCUGAACUUUUAAUGCAGGAAUUGAUUUUAAAACUCUCUUCUGGCAUGAGAUAAUUGACAGGAAAAAUCACAUUUAAUUGUAAAUAUCUCCCUGCCUGACAGUGAUAAAGAGAAAACGAAUGCAGCCAGCUCUACAAGUGAUGUAUCUUCCUCAUCUUCAGCCACGCUGCAGCCUCUGGUGCGACUUUGUCAGGGCAUGUUUUCUGCAGUGCUCUGAGUGCAACAGCAAAUGCAAUGGAAGGCAAAGGAAACAAAAAGCCUGCAGGUACAGCCAGACCCUUCAGGACCCUUACGUGAGCCUCGGAGCAAAAAGCCCUACUCCUAGUUGCACUGAUUCUACUGUGGAAGUGAACUGAAGCUCCCAGCAACUCAACGGAUGCUAUUUCUGGGCCAGUAUGACAGCCUACAAGAGAACGAUCAGCAUCGCUCCAUAUUCUGCUCGAGUGACACCGCGGCACGGCUGAUCGCAGGAUUAUCUGGGGUAGCCAAUGGAUGGGAGGAUAUUUAUAGAAAUAAAAGUAUUCUCUAAGGUAUAAAGUAAGCUGAUUUAAAAGGCUGGAAUACAAGCAGGCCAACACGGAGAGGUGGACUCUAUCUCAGUAGCCACCAGCAUAGGUUACGUGGUUUGUGUACACAACUUGAAUCAAGAGCCAAGUAAUAGCCCAGGCUAUUGUGAUUAGUAGUAUUUUAUAAAUAUUAUUAAAAACUGGCACCCAGCAUUUUCUCCCUAGUUAGUGAAUGCUUAAGGUUAAGUAAAGCUAUGCACAGGCCGGUUUCUAAUAUACUACUUUUUUUUAAAUUGGUGUUAUGAGCAUACUAGUUAGGAAGACAGAAAGCAUUUCCUGACAGCUUGGUAGACUGGAAAAAGUAACUCAGCUGAGUUCCUUGCAGCAUGCAGGCACUACAAGGAACAAGCAACCCUCCCUGCACAAAUGCUGCUGGAUUAGCACCUCUGUGCUUGCAGACACAGUGCUGAAACCAACUUGGCCCCAUGAAAGACAGGAAACAAUUACUUGGUAUCCAUGGCGGACAUCAGGUAGAAAAGCAGCAAAUGGUGGUGCAAAGGGGAGGCUCAAAUGCCAAGGGAGAGGAGCAGGGCCUCGAAGCAGUGCAGCAAGUAAACGUACCCUGAGCAAGGAGG